AUGACUGGCUUCCUGAAGGCCUUGCUGUUGGUUCUGUGCCUGCGGCCAGAAUAAGACUAGUGGCCAGCAAGUUAAACAAAGCUCUCCAUCGCUGACUGUUCAAGAGGGAGGGAUAUCGAUCCUGAAUUGUGACUACGAGAAUGAUAUGUUUGACUAUUUUGCCUGGUACAAAAAAUACCCUGACAACAGCCCCACACUCCUGAUAUCCGUACGCUCAAAUGUGGAUAAGAGGGAAGACGGAAGACUCACAGUUUUCUUGAACAAAAGCGGCAAACACUUCUCACUGCACAUCACAGCCUCCCAGCCUGAAGACACAGCAGUGUACCUCUGCGCAGCAGGUG